ACAGAGGGACUUUCAUUUUGAGGUCUGGCUGGGCCUUUGAAUGUGUUCCAUGUUUCUCCCUAGAUCACCCCAGAGGCAAAAUUCAGUUUCUGCUGGUUUUUCCAAGAAAUCUACUCAUGCCAAAUCUUGGUAAUAGCCAGUAUCAACUGCCAGACACAUGAAUGAAGAAGUCUUCAUAUUAUUCCAUCUCCAGGCUUAGAGCGUUCUAGCUGAGGCCCCUUUAUCACAGUAGAGGGCAGACCUGAGAGAUGCAGAUGAAAGGAAUGGGGCAGUGAGAAGAGAAUCUUCAACACAUCUAAGUUGGCAGAG